rnacentral:rRNA from 1 species
GAUGAACGCUGGCGGCGUGCCUAAUACAUGCAAGUCGAGCGAACAGACGAGGAGCUUGCUCCUCUGACGUUAGCGGCGGACGGGUGAGUAACACGUGGAUAACCUACCUAUAAGACUGGGAUAACUUCGGGAAACCGGAGCUAGUACCGGAUAAUAUAUUGAAUCGCAUGGUUCAAUAGUGAAAGACGGUUUUGCUGUCACUUAUAGAUGGAUCCGCGCCGCAUUAGCUAGUUGGUAAGGUAACGGCUUACCAAGGCAACGAUGCGUAGCCGACCUGAGAGGGUGAUCGGCCACACUGGAACUGAGACACGGUCCAGACUCCUACGGGAGGCAGCAGUAGGGAAUCUUCCGCAAUGGGCGAAAGCCUGACGGAGCAACGCCGCGUGAGUGAUGAAGGUCUUCGGAUCGUAAAACUCUGUUAUUAGGGAAGAACAAAUGUGUAAGUAACUAUGCACGUCUUGACGGUACCUAAUCAGAAAGCCACGGCUAACUACGUG